rnacentral:lncRNA from 1 species
GAUAUAACUCUUUUUUAAAUCUAUUCAACACGCGUAACAUACGAGGUUUUUAAGGAUAUAAUUUUUUUUAUUAUUUGGUAGAGUUAUUCAACCUGAUUAUACACGAGUUUUUUAAAGAUACGACGUUUUUAGUAUUUAGUAUACAAAAUUACAUUUAUUUAAUCCGUGUAAUACACAUGGUUUUUAGAGAUACGACGCUUUUAGUAUUUAGUAUACAAAAUUACAUUUAUUUAACCCGUACAAUACACAUGGAUUAAAGAUAUAAUUUUUAAUUAUUAUUUGAUAUAUAAAAUUACAUCUAUUUAACCCGUACAAUAUACGGGUUCAUAAAGUUAUAACUUUUUAUUAUUUAAUAUAUAAAAUUACAUUUAUUUAACCCGUGUAAUACACGGGUUUCUAACCUAGUUGUAUGUAAUAAACAAGUACCUGUGAUCAUAGUCUUCUACUUGGAUGCAUGGGAUAUGAGAGAUGAGGGGGCAAUAGUGUUGGGUUGUGGAGGAUUUGACUAGCAGGGGUGUUCUUAGUUACACUCCUGCAUCUAGCAGGAGUGUUCUCUGUUAAUGUAGUUUAAAGUCAACAACCCUAAUUGUUCCUCCUAAAUAUACUUCUCAUGCAUGUCUGUAAUUUUUUUGAGCACCUAAUAAAGAAGAGAACUAGUUGUGGGAGUGGAUGUAGAUCAAGCUUGAUCGAACCACUAUAAAUCUUGUAUUCUUGUGAUUUAGAGUGUGUGAGCUUGUUGUGCUUGUUCUUGUGUUUGUGUGAUUCGUGAUAUAGCCCUAACAACUGGUAUCAGAGCUCAGGCUCUUGAUCGAUUCAUACGAACUAGGUAAGAGGUGAAGAAGAACAACACUUACAUGUUGAAGAAGAAGCCGUGGUCUCGGGUUUCAGUCACAGUCGCAGACAUCACGAUUAGGGUUUCUGAACCAUUUAAUUUGGUUUAAAUGUAAAUUUAUUGAUUUUGUUGAUGCUUCCCUGCUGAAUUAGCAUGAUUGUAAGCAAAUAAACAAAAAGUUUGAUUUUCUUGUUCAUUGAACUGAAUUGUUGCUGCACUGCUGUUCUUUAUGUUGGAUGGUUAUUGA